CAUGUCGCACACCUAUUUUGAUAGGUGGUGCACGUAGAACGCCUAAUGUGUUUGUGCAAUGACAAAAAGAGCCUUCCUUUCUUUCUUUCUUUCUUUCUUCACACCUUCAACUAAUGCAUCUUCAAUUUAUCUUCUUCGGUAUUUGAUUCUAAGGCCACCAAUUUGGUUGAAUCGCUCUUGCUAGUCAGUAUGGCGCCGCCACGGCAGCUGCCUGUGCUAAACUCUCAUUGGAGUGUACUGUAUUCGUGGGAAGCUUAGAUAUGGAGAGAUAACCUUCCAACGUACUCUUGAUGAAGCAUCUUGGUGCAAAGGAGCGUCUUUAGUAAUGUCACAAAUUACUUAGUAACUUUUUUUGUCACAUUGACGUAACUACUACUAUUUACAGCUUGUUUGGAUGGUUGUUAUUUUUUGUAUUAUAUCGUAUUUUUACUUUAAAUAUAAUA